UACGUAGGGUGCAAGCGUUGUCCGGAAUUAUUGGGCGUAAAGAGCUCGUAGGCGGUUCGUCGCGUCGGCUGUGAAAACCUGAGGCUCAACCUCAGGCCUGCAGUCGAUACGGGCGGACUUAAGUACUGCAGGGGAGACUGGAAUUCCUGGUGUAGCGGUGAAAUGCGCAGAUAUCAGGAGGAACACCGGUGGCGAAGGCGGGUCUCUGGGCAGUAACUGACGCUGAGGAGCGAAAGCGUGGGGAGCGAACAGG
rnacentral:rRNA from 1 species